AUAGCGUAUAUUAAAGUUGUUGCGGUUAAAAAGCUCGUAGUUGGAUUUCUGCUGAGGACGACCGGUCCGCCCACUGGGUGAGCAUCUGGUUCGGCCUGGGCAUCUUCUCGGAGAACGUCGCUGCACUUGACUGUGUGGUGCGGUAUCCGAGACUUUUACUUUGAGAAAAUUAGAGUGUUUCAAGCAGGCACACGCCUUGAAUACAUUAGCAUGGAAUAAUAAUAUAGGACCUCGGUUCUAUUUUGUUGGUUUCUAGAGCUGAGGUAAUGAUUGAUAGGGAUAGUUGGGGGCAUUCGUAUUUAACUGUCAGAGGUGAAAUUCUUGGAUUUGUUAAAGACGGACUACU
rnacentral:rRNA from 1 species